rnacentral:lncRNA from 1 species
CCGAGGCUGGGGGACGUGGGGAGGGAGAGAUGGUGCUCAGAGGGUACAAAGCCUCGGACAGGAGGGCAAGUCUGUCUCUAGAUCAAUAGCACGGCAUGCUGAGUACAGCUAAUUAUUGAGUAUUUUACAUUUAAAUAUCGCCAAGAGUAAAUUUCUAAUAUUCAUAAAUCAUAGCACCAGUUUAUGUCCCAUAAAGUAUGCAACUAUAAUUUAUCAAUAUAACAUGAUAAAUACAUAAUGAAUACAUUUUAAAAAACACAAGGACUGAGCACUGCUUCUUGGUAGUUUGUAAUUGAGUUAAGAGUACAUACAAAUAAUAAAAUGUGACCAAACAAUGAGAUAAAAUAAAAGUUUGUGUGUUAAUCACACAGGGACAUAUGCCUAUCAGGAGCUUACAAUCACAGGGUCCUAUCUUAUUUUGAGGCAUAAUUUAUAUAAAAUAAAAUGCACCAAUUUUUAAAAAAGUUAUGAUUUUGCAUUUUGCUAGGAACACGAACACAGUUCUUUAUUAGCCACUGAGACACAUGAGUCACUUUCUAUAUUAAGAAAAAAUUCAUUGUGGUGCAAAAUAAGACUCUCUUUUUUCAUUAAGGUACAUUCAUAGUUUUGAUAUCUAACUUAUAUAACUCAUUGUAAUUGCUGAAUCGUGUACUGGCACUUGCACAUGAAAUUAAUGCUUUCAAAUGAUCUACUUUGGAACUGUGUGCCAUAACAAAAGACUCAAAAAUGCCACCUAAUUGCCCCAGCUCAGCCAACCAUUAAUAUCUGAUGCCCCUGUAGAGGAUCCAUGUGAAAAAUUCCUUUUAAAAUUUAGGAUAUUCCUCUCCAAAACUGGCCUCUGUUGAAGAAAAAAUACUCCUCUCUCACACACAGAUAACUGUGUAACUGACCACGUCUCUUGAUGGCUUGACUGACAGCAAACUCAGCAUGGACUCUUAUAACUAAGUAAUUAACUGUGGUCCAUAUAUAUCUUCUUCCUUUUUAAUAAAGUUUGACAUGUAUUUUAACAUUUCAACAUACUAUAAUUUCAUAACAGAUCCCUU